rnacentral:tRNA from 1 species
GGAGGGUUGGCAGAGUGGUUUAUUGCACCUCAUUGCUAACGAGGCGUGCGGAAACGCACCGGAGGUUCGAAUCCCCCACUCUCCG